CGCCUUAUACUCCUACGGGAGGCAGCAGUGGGGAAUAUUGCACAAUGGGCGGAAGCCUGAUGCAGCGACGCCGCGUGAGGGAUGACGGCCUUCGGGUUGUAAACCUCUUUCAGCAGGGACGAAGCGUAAGUGGCGGUACCUGCAGAAGAAGCACCGGCUAACUACGUGCCAGCAGCCGCGGUAAUACGUAGGGUGCGAGUGUUGUCCGGAAUUACUGGGCGUAAAGAGCUCGUAGGCGGUUUGUCACGUCGUCUGUGAAAUCCUAGGGCUUAACCCUGGACGUGCAGGCGAUACGGGCUGACUUGAGUACUACAGGGGAGACUGGAAUUUCUGGUGUAGCGGUGGAAUGCACAGAUAUCAGGAAGAACACCGAUGGCGAAGGCAGGUCUCUGGGUAGUAACUGACGCUGAGGAGCGAAAGCAUGGGUAGCGAACAGGAUUAGAUACCCCAGUAGUCCACGUACCA
rnacentral:rRNA from 1 species